GAAGUUAUCUUGUUGGAAAUCGGUUGGAUUCUUUGUUGGAAAUCGUUAUUCUCUCGCUAUUUGUUGAGGACAAACUUGUACUGCUACGCUAAAAGUCGGAUUAUUCGAAGGACUACACGUUGUUUGAAAUAAAGUGAAUCCAACAUAAAUUGGUCAUUGAAGUUUUUUUUCGACAUCUUACAUUUUUUAAGGUAAUUCCAUCACAUUGUUGUACUUUUCGUAUACUUUGUUUCAUUUUUUUAGUAAAUUAAUCUUAUUCCAGCAUAAAGUUCAAUAU